UAUAGGCUUAGAGGAGUUAGAGGUGGGAGUGUUGCUAGAUUCAGCCCAGAACUGAGGGGGCCAAGGGAAACACUCAACUGCAGGUCUGUUCUGCUGGAAACCGUGCCAACGCUGACUCAUGCCGCCUGGCACCCGUGACAACAGGAACUAGAAUCUAGAAUGCUAGAAUCUCUGCUUGAGCUGCAACAGAGCAAACUGCCUCCUCUGAUGUGUUUACAGGAGGUAGCUCUCUUCUCCUGGAGCUUAAGUCGCUCCCUCUCUCCUAAUUCUCUGUUAGAGUUUCCACCUGGAAGAUUCUAAAACAGUGGCUGCAAAGGAGUCUCUUAAAUUUACUUUUUAGCUUUUCAGACGUUGCCCCAUAUUUAGAAAGGCAUGCAAAAGGGGAUCGAAGGGACAUUGAAUGACCCAGUGCAUGUUAUAUCUUCCGGAGAAAUUUAGUCCAUGUCAGCUUCUCCAAUCACAGCAAGUAGUCUAAGGAGGAAGAAUGUAAUGAAAAUGGUCCAAUAUCUAAAAUUGUAAAUAUUUUCCAGUAGGAGUGAGAACACAGCAACAUAAACUGAUAAAUCAUCAAAGCUCAAAUAGACUCAUUCAUGAGUAUUAAAGCUUAGUGACUGUUUUUGGAGAGGGGAGUCCUGUUGAAUAGAUCAAACUAUGUAGAAAUGUAGGUACAUUUUAAAUUGGCCUAUUAAAAAUUUCAGGCCUGAAAAUAAAAUACCUGAAAUAUAAAAAUACCUGAAAACAUGAAUAAGUGAAAUCUUAAAGGAAAACAUGAGAAGUGUGGAUUACUUUGGUUUUCCUUAAAAUUAUAAACCAGUGAAGAGACUAUUUAGAUCCAUAACAUUAAUAUUUCUUUCUUUCAUGUAUUGAUAUUGUACCAUUCUCUUAAUUUUACAGUUUUUAAUCUUUUCUCCCUUGGCCUUUUCACUCAUAAGUUUUGAAAGCUUUAUUAAGUAAAAUAACUGGAAAAUUAAUAUCUAUAAGAUCCAAGUGAGGCAUUUGAUAAAUGAUAAUGGAAUGCAGAAAAAUACAAGGAAUUCACCUCCACCCUAGAUGGUUACUUAACACUGUGUAGAAAGCAGCUGUGAUUUAUGUAAAGAGAAUUUCAUGAAGAUGAGUAAUGUGUUUUCCUCUCUUGGUAGUGAUUAUCUUUUCCCUUGCUGGAUAAUUCCAAUGUGAAUCUACUAAAAAACAAUUUAUUUGGUGUUUAGAGUGUGCAAUACACUGUGCUAAAUGCUGAAUUUUAGAAGAAUUCACACAAUGUUAACAAUUUCCUUAGGUGUUGUAUCAUAAUUAAUUCUAGAAUAUAUGUUCAUGUUUAUUAUAUAAUAAUCAAAAGACAACUGGGAGAAUAUAUAGCUUUAAUAUGUGUAAUAUAGUUUGUAACAGAUCAUAUUUUAUUAAUGAUGUAUAAAAACUUUUUCUUAAGUCACAGAAAUUAUUAUUUUAAGGAAAAGUUUUUCCAAAAUGUAAUGCUUUUUGUCAAAAGAAAAGCAUAUAUUAGUCCAUUGCAAAAUAGGAAUGUCCAUCUCUGAAAUUAAUUCCAAAUAAAAUAUACUUCGUAGUCAUAAAACACUAUAUAAUCUACCAUUUAUAAUCUAAUUUCUUUCCUUACCUUUAAAAAAUUUUGUGUGUUACUAUUAGAUAAUCAGAUGAUUGUUUUUUCCUUUUCAAAUGAAUAUGGUUGUCCAAAUCAAAUCUUUGGUGUGAUCAAAAUCACAGGUAAACUAUUAUCUAGUGAGAAUGCACCUAAAGCUAUCAUAAAGUUGCUAUGUAUACUCCAUUUUUAAUCAUCAUAAUUAAUACUAUUCCACAUCAGACCCAUGGGCUCAACAGCCUUCAAGUUUUUGUUUAACAGAGAUGUGUUUCUGGAAGGACUGAUUUCCAUGCUAAACCAGUGAUGCUCAGACCAGAUGCCUAUCAGCUUCACCUUCGGAUCUUUGGGCACCAGAAAUUCUGUUUAAAUUAAUCAAGGAAGGAGUCUGGACAUUGGUAUUUUCUUUAAAGUUCUUGAAGUGAUUAUGCUGGCAGCCAGAAUUGAGAGAUGCUGCCCGGGACAUUAAUCUCAAAAGUCAUGCACACAAAACCUAAAACAUCCUCUGAUUCUGUUAAUCACCCCAUCACUUGUCUAUGAAUACACCUGAGCAGUUCUUGAAGCUUUGGAUUUCAAAUCUGCAUUUAUUUUCAGCAUUUGGUUUUUUGAAGCAAAUGAACAGUGGUUUCAGUGUCCAGUGUCGGGCGUGUCAAGGGGCAGGGCCUGGGACGUGUGUUUACCAGUGUGGACUAUGAUAAGUGAGCUUCACGGAUGUAAAUGCCAGCAGUAGAAGCUAAGGCUUCUGAUUGUGGAUGCUGCCUGCCCAGGUCAGGUUCCUGACCAGGCGGAGGAUGUGACUCUGGAUGUGGUAGCUUCCUGGUAGUAGAAGUGGCCCAGCCACCUUGGUGGCCCAACUGAGCAGCGUGUCCUUGGUCACUUCUG
rnacentral:lncRNA from 1 species